rnacentral:rRNA from 1 species
AGCUGAUCAUUGGGUGUAAAGGGUGCGCAGGCGGUUUUGUAAGACAGAGGUGAAAUCCCCGGGCUCAACCUGGGAACUGCCUUUGUGACUGCAAGGCUGGAGUGCGGCAGAGGGGGAUGGAAUUCCGCGUGUAGCAGUGAAAUGCGUAGAUAUGCGGAGGAACACCGAUGGCGAAGGCAAUCCCCUGGGCCUGCACUGACGCUCAUGCACGAAAGCGUGGGGAGCAAACA